rnacentral:rRNA from 1 species
AUGCAAGUCGAGCGGUAACAGGGGUAGCUUGCUACCCGCUGACGAGCGGCGGACGGGUGAGUAAUGCAUAGGAAUCUGCCCGAUAGUGGGGGAUAACCUGGGGAAACCCAGGCUAAUACCGCAUACGUCCUACGGGAGAAAGGGGGCUUCGGCUCUCGCUAUUGGAUGAGCCUAUGUCGGAUUAGCUAGUUGGUGAGGUAAUGGCUCACCAAGGCAACGAUCCGUAGCUGGUCUGAGAGGAUGAUCAGCCACAUCGGGACUGAGACACGGCCCGAACUCCUACGGGAGGCAGCAGUGGGGAAUAUUGGACAAUGGGCGAAAGCCUGAUCCAGCCAUGCCGCGUGUGUGAAGAAGGCCCUCGGGUUGUAAAGCACUUUCAGCGAGGAAGAACGCCUAGUGGUUAAUACCCAYUAGGAAAGACAUCACUCGCAGAAGAAGCACCGGCUAACUCCGUGCCAGCAGCCGCGGUAAUACGGAGGGUGCAAGCGUUAAUCGGAAUUACUGGGCGUAAAGCGCGCGUAGGUGGCUUGAUAAGCCGGUUGUGAAAGCCCCGGGCUCAACCUGGGAACGGCAUCCGGAACUGUCAAGCUAGAGUGCAGGAGAGGAAGGUAGAAUUCCCGGUGUAGCGGUGAAAUGCGUAGAGAUCGGGAGGAAUACCAGUGGCGAAGGCGGCCUUCUGGACUGACACUGACACUGAGGUGCGAAAGCGUGGGUAGCAAACAGGAUUAGAUACCCUGGUAGUCCACGCCGUAAACGAUGUCGACCAGCCGUUGGGUGCCUAGCGCACUUUGUGGCGAAGUUAACGCGAUAAGUCGACCGCCUGGGGAGUACGGCCGCAAGGUUAAAACUCAAAUGAAUUGACGGGGGCCCGCACAAGCGGUGGAGCAUGUGGUUUAAUUCGAUGCAACGCGAAGAACCUUACCUACUCUUGACAUCCUGCGAACUUGUGA